rnacentral:piRNA from 2 species
UACAGAGAAGAUUAGCAUGGCCCCUGCA